AGCAUAGCCUAGAUCCAACCAACAAAAUCAUUGGUAUAUGAGUUGGAAGCAUGUUUCAACUAGAAAUGGUCUGUGUGUACUUUGUUUCUAAAAUAUACAAUAUGCCAGUUUUGUGGUGGACAGAAAACUUCAGCCCUCAGCUUUUGUUUUGUUUUUGAAACCUUGUCAACUACAGCAGCAAAACCUCUUUUUCCAGCGUUGCAAUAUUUGACGUGACAUUCCAAGUGAUGCACAAGACAGKGGAACCAAAAGGGAGAUGCAUUAAUGUAGAUAAGUACGUUCUGUGUUUUCUGUCCUGGCUUCAGCUGGGGCAAAGUUGAUUUCCUUCUUUAGCAGCCRGUACAGUGCUGUGUUUUGGAUUUAGAGUGAGAGCAACGUUGAAAGCACUCUGAUGUUUCCAAUUGUUACAGCACUUUCCAGCUUCUAGUGCCCUGACAGUCAGAAGGCUGGAGAGGGGACAAAGCUUGGACAGCUGACCCCAACUGACCCAAGGGAUAUCCCACACCAUAUGGCAUCAUGCUCUGUAUAUGAAUUGGGGAGAGGGGAGCUGGCUGAGGGGCCACUGCUCAGGACCUGACUGGUACCAGUUGGUGGUGAGGUGUCUUAUUGUGCAACACUUGAUUUGCAUAUUUGAAUUAUUUUAUCAUUAUUAUUUUCUKCCUUCUCUGUCCAUUUAAACUGUCUUUUUCACAACCCACGAGUCUGAAUCUUUCCUUCCCCACCCCGCUGGUAGGGRGGCCAUGGCUGAGGGGCCGUGUGGUGCUUGGUUACCAGCUGGAGUUAAAACCACAACAAUUGGAUGAACCUGCUUAAUGCCCAUGGCAUUAUACCUUCUUCUUCCCCCCCUGGGGAUACACAAGCACCUAAGCAUAUCUCAAGUAGUUUGAAAAUGUUGCUGGCAUUCAAAAGGGCAGUGUCCUUGACCCCUCACCUCAGGCAGAGCUGUAAGUAAGGAAUUCCUCUAAUUCUGAAUUCAAAUAAUUUUCUCCCAUUUGUUUAUAUUUACGGUAAUGUGGCAUAACAAAGGUGUAUCCUGAUAUUUCUUUGCCUGAAUACCCUUUUAUUUAAUUCUAAUUUCCACAGUUCCUCUGGUCAGACGAGAGUGAUCGCUCAUAAUGACUCGUGGAGGCUAGUAGUUAUUUUCUAGGGAUUUCCAGAGCCGUAUUUUCAUAACCAAGAUGGAUGUUUCUAAGGGAAUAACCACAUGAGUGCUCACAGCUGUGUUCAAAACAUAGUACAGCCAAAGACUGUCAGGAGUGUAUAUUACACACCCAAAAUUCAGCUCCAGACUGUGUUGGGGCUGCAUUUUAACAGUUCCUUUUAGUUCCUAGGCCUCUUAAUGCUAAUAAAAAUUCUUGCUGUUGCAGGAUUAGUCAAUGGCAAAACCCAUCUGGAAGAUGAUUUUUUCUCCCACAGAAGCUGUGGGUGGAGGUCUGGGUUUGCCUCCUUACUCUCUUAACUGUUCUCUGUUCCUGACCAAAGCARAUUUGGUUGGGAUUGCAAUCCUGAGCCUGUUUAAAUAGCCAUUUAAUAAGUAUUCUGGUUUUCUCAUUAUAGGAAUAAAUUUCAGAUCUGAUAUUAGAGUAUCUCCAUAGCUCUUUCCUAGGCUCUACAUUAUUAUAUUAGCUCGUGGCUCUAGUCCUGAAAAGAGUGUAAUUUCAUCCUCACAUUUCUAAAGGUUAAUCUUUUCUCAUUAACAAUAAGGGGUCACAUCACGUGGCUGAAAAAAAAAUAGUAACAUACAUCUGAAUUCCCUACCCAUGUGAGCAGUGGAAAAAUGAACAGGAGUGGGAAGGAGUCAUCACAUCACAUACUAACUCAUCUAAAUCUGGAUUCUUAAAUUAGGUUCCUCCACCAAGCGGGAUCAGGACGAGUCAUCCCUUUUGCUGUUAGGAAAGCCAAGAGGGAUUAGGCUCCUAAUUUAUUUAUCAAAAUAUUUGAUUGUAUUUUAUUAUGCGUUAAAUACGUUUUAAAGGUUCUGUGAUUAUCUCACCUUCUUCCCAGACUCUCAGCAUCUUAAGCUGCUAACUUACUGAUCCUGCUGAACUUUCAGAAAUGCACCACAACAACUUAUCUCGAGCUCUAGAGCACCAGGAAACAGCAAAGAAACUUGAGGAAAGCCAACACAGUAAAAAUGUUCAGAAAAAAAAAAAAAAAUCAGAGAUGAAGGGGAGAGCUGCAAAUGUGUGUCACAGCCACAGCAGUAGCUGCUACUCUCACCCCACAGGAGCUGUGAGAACUUAAUGACCAAAAUUGGCCACAAACUUAAUAAAUACUUGGUCUGAAGGACUGAAGAAGUUUGUGUUUUAAAGACCUAACUGCAGACAAUUGAUCAUGAUGGGGUAACAAGGUAUUUCUGGGACACAAAAGUGUGGCUCCAGCAGAGCCAUAGAGGCAGGAGCUGUCAUGGAAAGGGCCAUCAAGCCCUUGGGUCCUCACGAGUGGAUGCUCAGCAUCCCCUCUGGGGCUGUGAGGGCUCCGCUGCUGCAACAGCCUGAAUGUUGCAAGAGYCUUUAAUCUGAGUCUAGCUAGAUGAAAGCUGCUACACGUGUAACUAGUGAUGCCGUAAUGGCAACUUUGAUUACAGUGUAGGUAUCUUCAAAAAUAGAGGAUCUUGGGAAUCAAGGUCGGGAUGUGAUUAUAAGAAUUACAGGCUUUCCUAAAAGUGCUGAGGAGAACAAAAAYGCAAACUGAAAAAGCGAUUGAUUCUUCCAUUUUAAUCCUGAUGACCAGCUACGUCAAGCUGAUCUGCCGGGAGCCAUCACAGAUAAACCCACAAUAAAAGAAACACUGCGUGGAUCAGCAGCAGACAUCAGAAACCUUCCCAGAGGAGAGGUUUGCCAUUCCCCGCCACCACUCCCGGGCAGCAGCCACAUACCAGAGAGGCAGAUCACACACCAGUGGUGCCUGCUGGCCAGAAGGUUAUUUUCCCAUUGGAAAUGACAGUUGGCUGUACUCUGCAGAGAUGGGACCAAGUCAGUYGUCAGCAUGAACUUUUGGGACUCUCAAGAAAGCGCCAGACUGGAAAA